rnacentral:sRNA from 1 species
ACUUUACAGAAUUGAAUCCAAUUUGAAAACUGAAUUUUACAUUCUUGGUUGUGAUUAUAUUUAAUUUUCUUUGUGUUCAGCAUAUUAAUUAUUAAUUUCUUAGAUAUAUUUGCUUGAUAACUCAAUGUUUUGAAGUUUUUAAAAGAAAAAAGGAUUUAUUGAAAAUUUAGAAAAUUCAUUGUGUACACUUGUAUGUUCAUUGUUCUUACAUGGUCUAUACUACAACAGCAAAUGUCUACAUGUAUCAAGUUAUUUUCUUAUUUGAAACAGCAAUCAUUUAUUUAUUGCAUUCUAUGUAUAUAUACUUUGAGUUCUGCAAAAAAAAAAUUACCCUGAAUUUUAACAUUUAUCAGGUGCAUUAAUUGUAAUCAUGUUGCCUACAUGCAUGUAUUGAUUUGAUAUAAAAACAAUGAACAUUUUUUACAAGUGCUGACAAGGGUGGCUAACUCUUGUAAGGUCAGUUAACAUUAUGUACCUUUUUUUGCUUGAUUCCGCUGCAUUACCGAGAGUGCAUUGUGUCUCAAGCUCUCCAAUAAAACAAUCUGUGAUGUAGAUUGCUAGGAUCUCAGUGUAAGAUAAACAGUUGUUGUUACAAGAGAGAUUUGUGAUGUUUUUGUCCCUGUUAAAGGGGGAGUUAUUAGUGUAUAGCAGGAAUUACUGUAGUCGGGAACUCAAGACAAGAGAUUGCAUCAGUCGAGAACAGAGAUCUUUUUGUUACUGUGCAGCUUUAUCUGUAGGUUGGAAGUUUUUUUUUGUAUAUUUAUUUGUAUAAGUAAACAUUUGAUUAUGCAAAGCU